rnacentral:rRNA from 1 species
GAUGAACGCUGGCGGUAUGCUUAACACAUGCAAGCCGAACGGUCACUUCGGUGAUAGUGGCGGACGGGUGAGUAACGCGUGAGAAUCUGUCUUCAGGUCGGGGACAACAGUUAGAAAUGACUGCUAAUACCGGACGUGCCGAGAGGUAAAGAUUUAUUGCCUGAAAGAGAGCUCGCGUCAGAUUAGCUAGUAGGUGGUGUAAGAGACUACCUAGGCGACGAUCUGUAGCUGGUCUGAGAGGACGAUCAGCCACACUGGAACUGAGACACGGUCCAGACUCCUACGGGAGGCAGCAGUGGGGAAUUUUCCGCAAUGGGCGAAAGCCUGACGGAGCAAUACCGCGUGAGGGACGAAGGCUUUUGGGUCGUAAACCUCUUUUCUCAAGGAAGACACAGGACGGUACUUGAGGAAUAAGCAUCGGCUAACUCUGUGUCAGCAGCCGCGGUAAU